AGUGAACGCUGGCGGUAGGCCUAACACAUGCAAGUCGAACGGCAGCACAGUAAGAGCUUGCUCUUACGGGUGGCGAGUGGCGGACGGGUGAGGAAUACAUCGGAAUCUACUUUUUCGUGGGGGAUAACGUAGGGAAACUUACGCUAAUACCGCAUACGACCUACGGGUGAAAGCAGGGGAUCUUCGGACCUUGCGCGAUUGAAUGAGCCGAUGUCGGAUUAGCUAGUUGGCGGGGUAAAGGCCCACCAAGGCGACGAUCCGUAGCUGGUCUGAGAGGAUGAUCAGCCACACUGGAACUGAGACACGGUCCAGACUCCUACGGGAGGCAGCAGUGGGGAAUAUUGGACAAUGGGCGCAAGCCUGAUCCAGCCAUACCGCGUGGGUGAAGAAGGCCUUCGGGUUGUAAAGCCCUUUUGUUGGGAAAGAAAAGCAGCAGGUUAAUACCCCGCUGUUCUGACGGUACCCAAAGAAUAAGCACCGGCUAUCUUCGU
rnacentral:rRNA from 1 species